AUUCGUCGGCAGCGUCAGAUGUGUAUAAGAGACAGAUACUAAGCCAUGCGAGUCAUUGUAGCAAUACAAGGCAUACGGCUCAGUAACGCGUAGUCAACCUAACCUAUGGACGGGAAUAACCUCGGGAAACUGAGAAUAAUGCCCGAUAGAACACUAUACCUGGAAUGGUUUGUGUUCCAAAUGAUUUAUCGCCAUAGGAUGGGACUGCGGCCUAUCAGUUUGUUGGUGAGGUAAUGGCCCACCAAGACUAUUACAGGUACGGGCUCUGAGAGGAGUAGCCCGGAGAUGGGUACUGAGACACGGACCCAGGCCCUAUGGGGCGCAGCAGGCGAGAAAACUUUGCAAUGUGCGAAAGCACGACAAGGUUAAUCCGAGUGAUUUGUGCUAAACGAAUCUUUUGUUAGUCCUAGAAACACUAACGAAUAAGGGGUGGGCAAGUUCUGGUGUCAGCCGCCGCGGUAAAACCAGCACCUCAAGUGGUCAGGAUGAUUAUUGGGCCUAAAGCAUCCGUAGCCGGCUCUGUAAGUUUUCGGUUAAAUCUGUACGCUUAACGUACAGGCUGCCGGGAAUACUGCAAAGCUAGGGAGUGGGAGAGGUAGACGGUACUCGGUAGGAAGUGGUAAAAUGCUUUGAUCUAUCGAUGACCACCUGUGGCGAAGGCGGUCUACCAGAACACGUCCGACGGUGAGGGAUGAAAGCUGGGGGAGCAAACCGGAUUAGAUACCCGGGUAGUCCCAGCUGUAAACUAUGCAAACUCAGUGAUGCAUUGGCUUGUGGCCAAUGCAGUGCUGCAGGGAAGCCGUUAAGUUUGCCGCCUGGGAAGUACGUACGCAAGUAUGAAACUUAAAGGAAUUGGCGGGGGAGCACCACAAGGGGUGAAGCCUGCGGUUCAAUUGGAGUCAACGCCAGAAAUCUUACCCGGAGAGACAGCAGAAUGAAGGUCAAGCUGAAGACUUUACCAGACAAGCUGAGAGGUGGUGCAUGGCCGUCGCCAGCUCGUGCCGUGAGAUGUCCUGUUAAGUCAGGUAACGAGCGAGAUCCCUGCCUCUAGUUGCCACCAUUACUCUCAGGAGUA
rnacentral:rRNA from 1 species